CCUACGGGUGGCAGCAGUGGGGAAUAUUGGACAAUGGGCGAAAGCCUGAUCCAGCCAUGCCGCGUGUGUGAAGAAGGCCUUCGGGUUGUAAAGCACUUUCAGUGGGGAAGAAAGCCUUGGGGCUAAUACCCUCGAGGAAGGACAUCACCCACAGAAGAAGCACCGGCUAACUCCGUGCCAGCAGCCGCGGUAAUACGGAGGGUGCGAGCGUUAAUCGGAAUUACUGGGCGUAAAGCGCGCGUAGGCGGUCUGAUAAGCCGGUUGUGAAAGCCCCGGGCUCAACCUGGGAACGGCAUCCGGAACUGUCAGGCUAGAGUGCAGGAGAGGAAGGUAGAAUUCCCGGUGUAGCGGUGAAAUGCGUAGAGAUCGGGAGGAAUACCAGUGGCGAAGGCGGCCUUCUGGACUGACACUGACGCUGAGGUGCGAAAGCGUGGGUAGCAAACAGGAUUAGAUACCCCUGUAUC
rnacentral:rRNA from 1 species